GGAGCAUGUUCAGGCUGCUGUCUUUGGGCGCCUCCUUGCCAGCCGCAACGGGUGGGCAACCUCAGCAGGCCCCCAUCGAGCAGAAAGGGUGGCCCGGCAGAGGGUUGCAGAAGUAAACACGGCAGAGGUGGGCGGAAGCGUCCCAGGAAGGCCCGCUGGUUCAGGGGGGCUUGGUCCCCAAGGACCCUGCCGAGCUCACCGCCGUUGUCAUUCAGACGGCUGGAAGCUCACUGCUUUCCUAAGGGGGGGGGCAGGCCCAGCCAGUGUUUGCUUUUUCAAUAUAUAGAGGGAGAGUGGGCAGAGUCAGACUCGGAGGCCCUAGGGAGGCAACGCAGAGGGUGAGAGCGAUGAACUGCAGCGUGCUUUUAGAAAUCAGGGCAGUGCCUCUGCUCUGCUUGGGGGUGUGUGUGUGGUUUUUUAAAAAAAUGGCAUUCUUAACACGCACAAGAUAGGUUAAAAAGCGUGCUGCUUUAAGAACAUCAAUCCGUAUGGGAAGAUCUCUGUGUCACGUGAUGGGCAGGGACUGUCUCUAGCUGGCGUGCCAGUCCUCCCAGGGUCCACGGCUGGCAUCUCCAGGAGGGGCCGCCCGGAGACCCUUGCUGGGAGCCCUCAAGAUCUGCCUGCAGCCAGUGUUGACGGUNNNNNNNNNNNNNNNNNNNNNNNNNGGCUGUAAGGCAAGCCCUGGGGUUCAGCAGGAGCCUGGAGGCAGGUGACGUCCAUGCCCACCUGGUGCCACCUGAACCCUCUGGGGUUGCUCAGUCUUUUGGGGGGGGGAGCGGGCAGGACUGGAUGCCCCCCUGGGAUCCCUUCUAGCUCUGCAACACAUUGAUUCCGGAACACUUUGUUUUCUCGUUUUUGCUGGAGAGGAAAGCGGGCUUUCGGAAGCGCCGCUGCCCCUUAACAGAGAUUCCUGGCCCAAAGGCAACCAGCAGGGCCGGGGCCACGGCGGUCCAGUUGUGGGUCCGCGCUCAUGAUCGCGAUUGCCUUCAACGCAACAGCUUGGCUCACCUGUGCGCCUGUGUCCUUUUUCUCUCCCCCCCCCCUUUUUUACCCCAAGGCCUGACCACUUGAACGGCCACAUCAAGCAAGUCCAUACGUCGGAGAGACCCCACAAAUGCCAGCAGGAAAUUGGCACCAUCCAUGGGAUAAGCUCAGAGACAUCUCCAUCCAUAGAACAGUUGAACCUUCAAGAGGUAUUUCUGAAACACCAUUUAUUUAUUUUUUAUUUAAAAAAACACCAAACCCACCCCCUUUUCUGUUUCUGCUCUGUUUAUCUUGCCUUUGCAAUGUCUGAAAUAGAAAGCACUGGAAUUUUUUUUAUUUGCUAUUAUUAUUACUCAAGAGGAACGGUAUGACUCUUUGACAACGCUUCUCCAUAAUCUUUAAAUUUGAAAUGUUUGAAGCUGAUCAACUCUUUCUUUGUUUUACUUUGCCUUUUUAAAGGGUUCUGAUACCUGAUUUUCUGCUUUCUAGCUUCUGUCCUUUCGUCCUUUUCUCUCUACAGAAUGAACUGUGUACUUCCAGCCACCCGGAGAAAUAUGGAGAUUUAUCCCAAGGAAGAAAGUUAUGCUUUUAUAUCUGGGGUUGUUUCCCCCCCCCCCCCGGGAACUUCGUGCCAU
ensembl:lncRNA